GAUUUCAAUUGAAAAAGUCAUCAACAACAAAGUUGAAUAACUCAUCAAGAUCUAAAACUUUUAUUUUUGUUAUUUCUUCAUCCGACGAAAUGUUAGUAAUAUUAUUCAUAAAUUUUACAUAUAUGUGUUAUAGUUUAUAAAACCAGAUAAGAGAUAUGUCAAUUUUAUGAACAAUGUUACUAUCACUUUGUCGUAUGAAGAAAUGACCAAAAUAAAAGUUUUAGAUCUUGAUGAGUUAUUCAACUUUGUUGUUGAUGACUUUUUCAGUUGAUAUC
rnacentral:pre_miRNA from 1 species